GACGUAGGGGGCGAGCGUUGUCCGGAUUUAUUGGGCGUAAAGAGCGUGUAGGCGGCCAGGUAGGUCGGUUGUGAAAACUGGAGGCUCAACCUUCAGAGGUCGACCGAAACCAUCUGGCUAGAGUCCGGGAGAGGAGAGUGGAAUUCCUGGUGUAGCGGUGAAAUGCGCAGAUAUCAGGAAGAACACCCGUGGCGAAAGCGGCUCUCUGGAACGCAACUGACGCUGAGACGCGAAAGCGUGGGGAGCAAACAGG
rnacentral:rRNA from 1 species